rnacentral:lncRNA from 1 species
CUUCGCGGCACCUCGCAUUACAGCCACGUCAAGGUCAAGGUGAGAACAGGGUUUGCAAGGUUGCCAGAAACUGUUGGCUUCUUUGCUGCUGGUGGCUCUGAAAGGCGGAAGAUGACGUGGCAGGGUAAGGAAGUGCCACAUCCUCGGACCGAAUCGGUCCACUCCCAGGAAUUGACCCAAAGAAAAUAAUCCAGACCCCAAAAAGAGAGAUGCCAGGAAAUAUUCACAGCAAUAUAAGGGAAAUGGUUUGACAAACCUUGGUACAUCAGUGUUAUGGAAUGUUCUUUUAUUUCAUCUAGCUUUUAAGGAACCACUUGGUGUCAGGCACCCUGCCAGUUCUUAGGGACACACACAUAAAAAAGGGUAUAAUCAGGUCUCUCCUCUAGAGGUUCACAUGCAAAAUGAGGGAGGUUAAAAGCAUAUACUCCAGAGCAAGGUUGUGAUGGGUUUGAACACCUGUCUCCUGAUUACGACAAUUGCUAUUGAAGUUGCCAGCUAUCAUUGUGUCUAUUGCUAUUAUUGUAGGAAUGUGACAGGUGCCAAGAUAGAAGGAUAGGAUAUAUAAGCUAUUAGGAGUACACAGAGGAGGGUGUGCUAUUGCCACAACAGAAGCACUUAUGAGCUUGAAAGUACAGGAAAUGGUAUAAUCAACGAUGUCUGGGGAUGCCACUAAAGGUCCCCAGAGGUGAUACUGGACUGUGUUUUGAAGGAUGUGUAGAAGUUUUCUGGGUGGAUAAGAAAUGGAAAGACAUGACAGAUGGAAGCAAGCAUAUAGGAAGAGGGAAGGGGCAGGGUGAAUUCCAAGAGCUACUUCUAAAUGUCUUCUGAGGAAGAAACAGAUAACUGGCCCGAAAACUGCUCUCAGGUGCAUGUGUACCAAACUGGGCCCCUCCCCUGGGGCUCCCUAGCCUGUGGCUCUGCACUUCUGAGACCUUGCCAGGCUUGACUCUCCAUCAUGGCCAGGUCCCCAUCUUUUGAGUGAUGAUCUCAAUCCUUGGUUGCUUUCAGGCCACCAUCGAAAGGAAAGAUUCUGAGUUGCUAAUUUUAGCCCCUUUGCAAAUUUGCCCACCUUUCCUAUCAACCUUUGAGCUCUUCAUAUCAAGAGAUACUGGGAAGAAACAAGGGUGAGCCAUUUUUAUAUCCACUGACCCAAAGUCAAGUAAAAAGAACCAGAGUCCUUAGAAGAAGGGGCUGUGGUGGUGAUAUUAAUCAUAAUAGUCAACAAAGGCAAAAGCUUAAUCUUUCCAUCAUGUGCUAUUGUUUACGCCAUCUCUACUAAUUAGCCAUUAUUAUCCCCUGGUUUUAGAUCAUGCACCUGAGUUAUUUUCUUUUUGUGUUACAGUGCUGGGGAUGGAACCCAGGACCUUGCACGUGUUAGGAAAGUGCUCCUUCCACUGAGCUACAUUCCCAGCCCAAAUGCAGCUGAGUUGAGUGGAUGGGCUCCAGACCACCCAGCUACUGAUGGUGAAUCUGAGAUUCAAACUCAGAGCUGCCUCCUUCCAGGUCCUUUCCCUUACUCCUGGGCCAUGCAACUAAAAAAGCAAAAAGAACCCAGAAAUGGCUUAGAAAGAGAGAAGGAAGAAGGUGGAUUCAUGAUCUCUUCACUUGAGGGAGAGAGAAGUUGGCUGGUGAAAUCCUUACAAGCUCAUAAGGAGCCACAGCUGUGGACCACAGCACCACACGAUGAUUAUCCCCUAUGCACCAGAUACUGCCACGCAGAUCAUUUCUGUCAGCUAGGGCCCUAGCUCAAGAUCAAAACACAGUAGGCCUUUCAACCCAGGGAAUUUAAUAUAAGGAUUUUGUUUUGCAGGUUUGAAUUGCUGAGGGGUCAUGCUGAAAAUGUUAAGGUGACCUAGAGUUCAGUAACAGCCAGCAGUCAUCACUACCAUCACCAGGCCCAGGAUAAGAAGGGACAAAGGGAGAAAGAAGAGGUUACCAGAGCCCAUGGUUCAAGAGCCAUUAGCAGACCUGGUACCACAGCAAAGAUGCAGCCACUGUCUGAGACACCCCUGAAGCAGAGAGCAAUGGAGAGAGAUGCCUGACUUCUCUUGGCCGCCCACCCUCCAGCCUUCCAUUCAUUUGACCAAACCUAUCCAGAAGUCUAAGAGGAAAGAAUUUUGGAAAUAUCUCUCUCUGCUAGGAAGCAGAAAGUAGAAAGGGG